UGCUUUUCCUUAAGACAUCCCUAUUUUCAUCAGAGAAAUGUUGGAGGACAUGGAGUUAUGCGACCCCCUGAGCCAAGGAGAUAUCUCAACUAUACAACCUUUAGAAGACAUCUGAAGGUACCCCUGUUUUUAUAUACCGGGUUUUCUCACAACAGGUCUGGAACAGAAAUGCAUACGCGUCUCCCUCAGUGCCACUUGAUCUGAUGCAGAACUUCAAGGGACCUCGGCGCAUGCACUGAGGCGGUCACUUGGAGAAAAGGCAACAGACCGCCAUUCAGGCAGUGCUGAAUCUGUUUCACCUGAUACUUCAGAACCAAGGUCUUCUUCUUUGCUCCUUCUUCUUCUUUGGUGAUCACUCAUAGCCGAGUAAGAUUGUCUUCCACAAAGAUGGUCUUCACAGUGUGUCUGUAAUGACUGUGGAGGCCAAUUGUGGAUCUGCACAUCCUUCCACAGUGGGGACAUAGGUUUCCAGACGAGAGUUGAUCAUGCCUUGCCCAACCUGGUGGCCUACAGAUGUUUUGAGUUACAAUUCCCAUCACUCCUAGCUAGCACAACAAUUUGAUCAACACAUGAUUGGCGUGUCUGAACGGGUCAUCAGAGAUACUGCCACAGACAGCAACCUUUGUGUUACCUUACUUCCCCUCAGUGGUAAUGCUUUUUGAUGGAAUCACAUCACACAUUCAGGUACCACUGUACCUUGGAAGUCCAUUUGACCUUCAAAACAUUCGGAAACCAAAGCACAGCUUCUGAUUGGCUGCAGGAAGCUUUUGCAGCAAAUCGGAAGCCGCAGAAGCCCCGUCAGAAGUUCGGCUUCCAAAAAUAGUUCGCAAACCGGAACAGUCAUUUCCGGGUUUGUGGCGUUCAGGAUCCAAAACGUUCGAGAAUUAAGCUGUUCAAAACCCAAGGUAUGACUGUAUAGGUAACAAAGUGUAAAAAAGAAAUAUAUGUGUAAACCAAUCACAGCUUGCACAGACAUUUGUAUAAAAUGAUCCGUAUAAUGUUCAAUUUUAUACAUGGAGGUGGUGUAUGCACUGAAUUCGAAAAUAUAGUGUGUAUGUGUCUCCCUUAAUUAGUCAGCAAUCAUCUGGAUGUGCCGGAUUUUUUAAUCAAAGAAACGUUAUAUUCCGAAACCAAACAGUUAUUUGAGCCAAACAGUGCCUUACUCAGACAGUAGAAAUAAUCAGCCACAUUAUAAGAAGUUCCUUUCCAAUUAGUGUAAUGAAUUGUUAACAAAUAGAAAAGAGCUUGGCUUUAAUUUUUGGUUUAGUAAUAUGGCCUUCUUCCUUCCUGGCAGGCCAUCAUUUCCCUGUGCCCUGAUUAAAAUUAAAACCAUACUGUUCUUUGAUAAGCAGAUGGGCUAGUUUUCUU